GACGAACGCUGGCGGCGUGCUUAACACAUGCAAGUCGAACGGAAAGACCCUGCUUUUGUGGGGUGCUCGAGUGGCGAACGGGUGAGUAACACGUGAGUAACCUGCCCUUGACUUUGGGAUAACUUCAGGAAACUGGGGCUAAUACCGGAUAGGAGCUCCUGCUGCAUGGUGGGGGUUGGAAAGUUUCGGCGGUUGGAGAUGGACUCGCGGCUUAUCAGCUUGUUGGUGGGGUAGUGGCUUACCAAGGCUUUGACGGGUAGCCGGCCUGAGAGGGUGACCGGCCACAUUGGGACUGAGAUACGGCCCAGACUCCUACGGGAGGCAGCAGUGGGGAAUAUUGCACAAUGGGCGGAAGCCUGAUGCAGCAACGCCGCGUGCGGGAUGACGGCCUUCGGGUUGUAAACCGCUUUCGCCUGUGACGAAGCGUGAGUGACGGUAAUGGGUAAAGAAGCACCGGCUAACUACGUG
rnacentral:rRNA from 1 species